GCAGCAGACCGGUCUGUCGCUCGUUUUAACAAACGGGAGGAAAGUCCGGGCAACGCAGGGCACCAUCCUUCUUAACGGGAAGCUAUCUGUGAGGGUAGAGUAGUGUAACAGAAAAUAACCGCCUCGUUUCGGCGGGGUAAGGGUGAAAAGGUGAGGUAAGAGCUUACCGCUUCUGCCGUAAUGCAGAAAGUCCGUACGCCUGAUGGGUUGUAAGGUCAUGUAUACCGACGUACGUAGGGCUGCUCGUCCGAUGUCGGGGGGUAGACCGCUCAGAGUUUGCCGGUGACGGCAAAUCAAGAUAAAUGACAGGCAAUUUUGUGUUGUAAGGCACGGAAUUACAGAACCCGGCUUACAGGUCGGCUGCUUUU
rnacentral:RNase_P_RNA from 1 species